rnacentral:rRNA from 1 species
UACGUAGGGCGCAAGCGUGUCCGGAAUUAUUGGGCGUAAAAGAGCCGUAGGCGGUUUGUCGCGUCUGCUGUGAAAGCCCGGGGCUCAACCCCGGGUCUGCAGUGGGUACGGGCAGACUAGAGUGCAGUAGGGGAGACUGGAAUUCCUGGUGUAGCGGUGAAAUGCGCAGAUAUCAGGAGGAACACCGAUGGCGAAGGCAGGUCUCUGGGCUGUUACUGACGCUGAGGAGCGAAAGCAUGGGGAGCGAACAGGAUUAGAUACCCGGUGUC